AUUCCACCCAAGUUAAAAGAAUGUAUCGAGUCCUGCAAUAUAAAAUUGGUCAAUUUUUGUCCAUCCAUAUAUUAAAUUUUCCGCUAGACUAUAGAAUUACUGAACAAAUAAGAAGCAAAUCAAAAAAUAUAAAUUUGGUACAAGUGAUUCUAAGAGUGGCGUCAAGUUUGAAUCACCACCUAUACUAAAAAGAAAAGAAAGAAAAUUUGUUACAUGCAAAAUUUUUUACAUAUGGGCAUAUGCUUUAUCAAUCUUCAAAAUAAAUGAAAUAAGUGAAACAAUAAAACUAUGUUCCUCUAAACUUUUCGCCCUAAUUCGAUGUUGCCAUAAGAGUUCAAGCGCACCAGUGUUGCUUUCAUAUACAGGACUUCAAGAUAAAUCACUCCCUCUUUUGACGCUUGCUAGGACCAGCAAAUGAAGGGUCACCUAGUGGCCUGGAGGAAGUGCCAACAUCUGAGUCUGAAGCCUGUGUUGAAGCUUCUGUAUUACCAGCAUCUCUCCCUGAAGAUGCCACUUCUGAUCCCAAGGCUACAUUUUGAGCUAUGAAGGGCAUCAUUUGAUGAAGCAAAUUAGAGAUGAAAGCUCCUUCAAUACCCACUGUUGGUGUUGCCUCUUGUGCAUUAGCAGCAGCCACAUGUGGGGUAGAAUUUGUGGCCGUAGUCUGAAAGUCAACAUUACCACCAACACUGAUAGGUGAACUACGGUUAUGGUCACUAGGAAACUGAAAAUCACUUGUGCUAUCCAGAAUUUCAGAAUUCACAUCAUGAACUCCAUCUAAGACCGGAUGGAAUAAGCCCAUCAAACUAUGAGUCGAACUAGAAAAUGUUUGCCUAACUGAAGCAGGAAUUGCAGCAACCACAGUCCUAAUAGGAACUACCCGCACUUCAGACACCCUAAUGGAAGGCAGAUUCCCCAAGGAUGCAGCAGUUGCAUAGUUAACAGAAUCUGCAGCACCAGAAACAGCCGGGUUGGUUUGUCCGGUGGUUGGCCGUGGACUGUUAGAAUCCCUUUCACUGGGCAUAAAUGAGCCUGUUCGUAUCCUCACAUUGAUAUUCCUUGUAACUUCAGCAUUUCCAAUAGGGGUUGUCCCAAAACUUGUUCCAGAUCGGAAAGGGAAUGGCUGAACCAUCAUAGGAUUUGGGCCUAAAGUUGAUAUAAAUAGAGGAGGUCCAGAAUUUACCACAGCAUCAGCCGGUGUUUGGCCCACUCGUAAUGUCAUUAUUGUACGACCAAGUUCGAGUAGCAAAGCACCCAAAUUCUGGAAAAGAGCUCCAUAUCUAAGACUGUUUGCCUGAAAACUCAUCCGAACUGAUGGAUCUGUAACAUUUGCUUGAUCCUCUAGUUGUUGUGCAAGAUGAGAUAGGCAAUCAGCAACUUGUUCUAUCAAUAAUUGCCUCGUUGAAAACAGCACUUCUGCCAAAAAUGCUGGCCUUGAAAGCCCUCUUUCGCCAGCAGUUGAAGGGAGCGCAGGGUCCAAGUUUUGUUCAUUGCUCCCAUUAGUUGCAGCAAUGUGUGAAUUGUUUCCAUUUCCCCCAUUAGCCCCAAAUUCAUGUCUCAACUGGCCAAGAUACUGGGACAAAGUUGCCAAGGAAUCAGGAACCACAGGUGGCUGCAGAGUUGCUUGGUGCUGUUGUUGUCCACUAGAAUCUCCCAAGCCACUAUUAGAGGGUUCCCUAAGAUUAACUCCUUCACUGCCACUUCCAACACCAAUAGAAUUGAGAAAAGCUGAGACAAUCUGAUUAAAUGCUGGAAGAACCGCAUCUCCAUUUUCAGAAAUACUGAAGGCUCCAACUAAUACACUUGGACCUGCUCGAAUACCUUGACUAUGGAAAGCACUUGAGGGAUGAUCAGUUUCUGCAAAUGACACCAUUUACUUUAAACUUUCCUGUAAAAUUCAUUAAUUUAUGAAUAGUGUGAUCAAUGAUAAAAAUGAGAGCAAUCAAUGAUUUUCUUAUGUUUGCUUAAUUUAUUGUGCUAUAUUCUGUAUUACUGGCAUAUAUUUUCUCAAAAAUCACAAUCAUGUUAAUAAAUUCCAAUUUGUUUCCCUAUGCUUCAACAAAAUUGCAUAUGUGAUGACUAGAGUUUAAUGCAAAUAUAUGAAGUCAAAAUGUCUAUAAUUAAAUAACGUCCUACUCUAAAAUCAAACUGAUGGGCAUCCUUAAAGCACAACCAACCUGGAUCAUUAUUUGGUAAGCUAUCUGAUAAUGGGGGAAUUGGUUGUCUAACAACCAAAUGCAAAGUGUGACCAUCUUCCACAUCUAAACCAAAUGUAGCAAGAAACUUUUCCAAACAAACCAAGCAAUUUGUAGAGAAACUAUUAAUCAUGCAGAACAUAAAGCUAUUUUCCCUAGAGAUCAAACUUUCUAUUUGAUACACACAAGCUUCAUGUGUUACUUGAAUUAUCUACAAGAAAAUAAAAAUAUGCAGGCUUUAAUUACUUUGAGGAUAAAACUCCAAACAUACACUUCAUAUGAGACAUCAAAAUCCAAAAGACACACAAGGGCUGUGCCAAUAGAGUGAAAAAUUACAGCCACAAAUGGCAAAUUGAUUAACAAUGACACAUCUAAGAAAAUCUAAGGGUAACAGGAACCAAAAAUUAGAUGGAGACAGUGGAAUUAAAAAGCAAGUUAUUUCAAAUGUGCAAAAAGAAAUAUUCUUACUUAACCAAUUAAUAUCAGCCAUGGCAGAAAGGAAUAAGCCCAAAACAGUGAGAUAAGGAAAUUAACAAAUACAAAGGAUACGGUAUGCUGAGAGGAGUUGAUCAUCCUUCAAAACUCUUCCACGGCAUAUGAGGCGUUGUUGUUCAGACAGCACACCAGUAACAGUAGCAAUUUGUUCCUUAAGCUCAGGUACUGGAACACUUUUAUCCACACGCAAAGUAUAGGUUUGUGAAUCUAGAGUUUUGAUCUUUAUUUCAACAGUUGCCUCAGAAUAAUUUGUCCUUUGAUUCCCAGAAGCCAUAACUUGAUCACCACCACAAUCUUCCUUUUUGUUCAAAACCUGAAAAAUCCUUGAAGUAGAAAUGGAAUGUGGUGGUGAGAGAAUUUGCAAGCGAAGGGUGUAAAGAAAAUUUUGUAUAAAAAAUGGUAAGCUGGUGUGCUGU
rnacentral:misc_RNA from 1 species